CACCGCUCGUCGCUCCUAUUGAUUUAAUGGUCUGGUGAAGUUUCGAAUUGUGGCGACGUGAGUUGUUUGCUACCCGCGAUGUUGUGAGAAGUCCACUAAACCUUAUCAUUUAGAGGAAGGAGAAGUCGUUAAUAGGUUUUCGUAGGUUAACCCGCGGAAG
rnacentral:rRNA from 1 species